rnacentral:rRNA from 1 species
UACGUAGGAGGCGAGCGUUGUCCGGAGUUACUGGGCGUAAAGGGUGCGUAGGCGGUCGGGUAAGUCUGAUGUGAAAUCUCCAAGCCUAACUUGGAAACUGCAUUGGAUACUAUCCGGCUCGAGGAAUGGAGGGGAGACUGGAAUACUUGGUGUAGCAGUGAAAUGCGUAGAUAUCAAGUGGAACACCAGUGGCGAAGGCGAGUCUCUGGACAUUUCCUGACGCUGAGGCACGAAAGCCAGGGGAGCAAACGGG